rnacentral:rRNA from 1 species
GACAGAGGUUGCAAACGUUGUUCGGAAUCACUGGGCGUAAAGCGCACGUAGGCGGCUUCUUAAGUCAGGGGUGAAAUCCUGGAGCUCAACUCCAGAACUGCCUUUGAUACUGAGAAGCUUGAGUCCGGGAGAGGUGAGUGGAACUGCGAGUGUAGAGGUGAAAUUCGUAGAUAUUCGCAAGAACACCAGUGGCGAAGGCGGCUCACUGGCCCGGUACUGACGCUGAGGUGCGAAAGCGUGGGGAGCAAACAGG